GACGAACGCUGGCGGCGUGCUUAACACAUGCAAGUCGAACGAUGAACCCGGAGCUUGCUCCGGCGGAUUAGUGGCGAACGGGUGAGUAACACGUGAGUAACCUGCCCUUGACUCUGGGAUAACUGCUAGAAAUGGUAGCUAAUACCGGAUACGACCCUCGGCGGCAUCGCCAGGGGGUGGAAAGAAUUUCGGUCAAGGAUGGACUCGCGGCCUAUCAGCUAGUUGGUGAGGUAACGGCUCACCAAGGCGACGACGGGUAGCCGGCCGGAGAGGGUGACCGGCCACACUGGGACUGAGACACGGCCCAGACUCCUACGUGAGGCAGCAGUGGGGAAUAUUGCACAAGGGGCGCAAGCCUGAUUCAGCAACGCCGCGUGAGGGAUGACGGCCUUCGGGUUGUAAACCUCUUUUAGUAGGGAAGAAGCGAAAGUGACGGUACCUGCAGAAAAAGCACCGGCUAACUACGUGCCAGCCGCCGCCGUAA
rnacentral:rRNA from 1 species